rfam:Chrysochromulina sp. CCMP291 CAF.Contig7243, whole genome shotgun sequence.
ACGUGCGGCCACAUCAGGCAGGGUCACCGCUUCCCAUCCGAACAGCGAAGUUAAGCUGCCUCGAGUAUCGGUAGUACUGCGGUGGGGGACCACGCGGGAAGGCGAUAUGCUGCACGUU